rnacentral:tRNA from 1 species
GGGAAGGUGGCUCAGUGGUAGAGUGUUUGCCUUGCAUGUAUGAGACCAUGGGUUCAAUUCCUCAGUACCA